rnacentral:rRNA from 1 species
UACGGAGGGGGCAAGCGUUAUUCGGAAUUAUUGGGCGUAAAGAGCUCGUAGGCGGUGUGUCACGUCGGCCGUGAAAACCUGCAGCUUAACUGUGGGCGUGCGGUCGAUACGGGCAUCACUGGAGUUCGGCAGGGGAGACUGGAAUUCCUGGUGUAGCGGUGAAAUGCGCAGAUAUCAGGAGGAACACCGGUGGCGAAGGCGGGUCUCUGGGCCGAUACUGACGCUGAGGAGCGAAAGCGUGGGGAGCAAACAGG